rnacentral:lncRNA from 1 species
AUGGCAACGAGCCAGCGCGACGAUCUCCCGCGCCUUUCUCUGUUCCCCCACGCGGCUUCCCACCUUCGCAUUUCGUGAGCUCGAAGCUUUUCGCGCUGUUCGUAACAGAAAUCUCUCUCGGCUUCAGUCAACGUCUCUGGUUUUUGGAUCAGACGGCGAAAGGAGCGCGUUCACUUAGUGGGUUGCGUUAGCGGAGUGAAUUAUACAGAUAGAGACCAAAACAUUCGUGUUCAAAGGAGCCAUGUUCAACAGUUCAAUGCCUGCUCAUAAAGUGCGAAAUAUAUGGGAACAAAACUUUUGCCCAAUGGUUGCGAAAAAUAAGACUGUCACCAAUAUCGGGUUGGACCGAUUUAGAAGUUUUUAACAAUUAUCAAAAGGUUCUUAUUUGAAUGUCCUACUGAAGUUAAACAUCUAAAUUUUAUCAUAAAAAAUUGCGAAAUAAUCUCACACGAUCAAUAUUAAGAUGAAGAAUUUGAUUUACAUGGUUUAUAAAUUAUAUUUUAUAUUAUCUCCGUCUAUACAUGUUUAGUUUUAAAGCAUUAAAAACUACAAAAAAAAAAAAAAUUCCAAAUUUGCAAAGCUUAAAGUUAAAAAGCGGGGGGGGGGGGGGGGGGGGGAUCCUAAACUUUUAAUUUCUCCACAUUAUUUUCAUGAACUUUUACUUGGCAAUGCUAUUAAGCCAUGGAAAUAUAUCUCCAACUCAUAAAUUGCACAUGACUUUUAAGGGGUAAAUAUGUAUAUUCAUCUAAUUUUAUGCCCCAGUGGCCACCCUUCCAACUUGGAAGGGGGAGGUGAGGGGUUCAAAUCCCCACCUUCUCAGGGGGGGAUGGAGGGUAGGGACGCGUAAGUUUCGAGAGUGGGUUGCGACUCCCACGCCCUGCAAGAGGUAGGGCACAAGUCUGCGAGUGAGUGUAGAGUAGGCAUAGAGUAGGACUGACAAAAAAAAAACUUGAUUUCUGUGAAAAAAAAUUGAAAAAUUAACAAAAAUGGAGAAACAAUUGAUAAAAAUAGUAAGAUCAAAAUAUUAAAAAUCAAAUAUAAUAUUAGAAAUUAUAAAUUGAUGAAAAUGUUAAUAGAAUUGAUAAGAUAUUUUAAGAAAAAGAAACGUGACUAUGUAAAAAUAAAAAAUAAAGGCCUAAUUACAAAAAAAAAAAUUAAAUGACAAAAACUCGAGCUGAAAAUGUAGUCUUCCUUAUCUAGAACCCUCGCCGGUGGACAUAACGAUUAAAACAGACUUCCCUUUGAUGCAAAUUCCAAGGCCCCACUCUCAGAAUUUAAGGAUUUCGCCAUUGAGAUCUAUCCAAAUCCAAUGCAGAGGCAGUGGGCUAUGUCUGCAGUCGCUAGUGAAGUGGUUUGGUUAAGUAGACUUGUAUCUGAUCUAGGGAUUCAUCUCACCUGCAAGGCCUCUUCAUGUUGACAAUAAUAGCCCUAUUCAAAUUGCAACCAACCCUAUAAUUAACUUGAAUUUUCGGUUGUACUACCAAAUCAGCCUAUUCCCCCAAAUAAAUAAAUAAAUAAAUAAAUGAAGUUACAUCAUUAUCCAGUAGUUAUGGCCACCCAAAAAAUAACACAUCCCCAAGCUAAAAUCCUCCGCCUACUAUUUUUUCCAUAAUUAUGGCGGCUAUCGCCAUUAUCUCCCCUUGACUAAAGCACAACAUCCCAUCUUGUUUUCUUUGUGGCCCCCACCCACUUGCCCUGUCGGAGUUACCACGUUCGGAUGCGCAAUCUUCCCGCUCGUAAUUCGGACGUUAUCCUUUCUUGUCCAAAAUAAAAAUAAAAAAUUCGGACGUUAUCCUUAUUUUAGCCGUGUUUGAUGUUCAUCUUGGGUCGUACCAUGCAUCCGUAUAACCCCGGUAAUUGACAAAGAUCUGGCCUUUCGUGAGAACCCACGACUGCCUAUCAAUGCGGACCACGGGAGAAGCGAGGGAAAGUUCCCCGAAAAGCGCCCUCCUUUAUCGAAUCUCGCCAACGAACCCCGUGCGAGAAAUGGCAACGAGCCAGCGCGAAUGAUCUCCCUUGCCUUUCUCUGUUCCCCCACGCGGUUUCCCACCUUCGCAUGUCGUGAGCUCGAAGCUUUUCGUGCUGUUCGUAACAGAAAUCCCUCUCGCCUUCAGUCAACGUCUCUGGUUUUUGAUCAGACGGCGAAAGCAGCGCGUUCGCUUGGUGGGUUGCGUUAGCGGAGCGAAUCUUGAACUU